UUUCCUAAAAUAUUUCUACCUAAUUUAAACAUAAAUAUAUAAUUCUUCUUUCACUUUUAUUUGAUCUUAUACUUUAUUUAUUUUGAAUUUAUAUAAAAUAUAUAUAGUUAAUAAAAUAUUAUAUUUUUUUCUGCAUAUGAUGUAAUUCAAAUUUUUAAAACGGACAUAUAUUAUUCAACCUAUGAAGAAAUAAUAUGUGUACAAUGUCCCACAUCGCUUAGAAAAAUUGUACAAUGGUUCAGACCCAUAUUAUAAAAGGACCAAAAUGAUUCUGAUUACGAAUGAGCAGGAAACUUGAUUUAUCAGGCGUCCAAAAUUAAAAUAGUUAUCCGAUUUACUCGGGUU
rnacentral:sRNA from 1 species